rnacentral:lncRNA from 1 species
GGGAGAGAUAAUCUCCUGCUGAUCUAUAGCGGUUAACAUUAACGUAUUAGCUGAAUGCCAGUGAGAAACAAAAAGGGCUUCUAAUAAAAUCUCAAGUAUUGUUGGAGUUAGCCUAAGCAUGUGAAUUAAGAGACAAAAUGAGGUAUUAUGACCUUCGUAGGGAUACUUCACCAGAAAAGGGAAGAAAGUCUCUGGUGGGAAUCCGUACAACUUCCUAAACACACUGUGCAUACUCACCUACUAAGGGUAAAGAGGGUACUGUACAUGGGUAGCCCACCCUAAUGGAAGAAUUAAAGGAAAUGAGCCAAAGUAUAAAGUUUUAGGAUCACGGUUAAACACCACACAUGACCUUCAUGUGCCCACUGAAGUCUCUUCCACGUAUACUUUCUUUCAUGUUCUCAACACUUUAAAUUUUCACUCCUGCUCUGAAAGUUGCCUUGGUCUCGUUUUCUGCCUUCUGUCCCUCACUGGAGUUCUUUCUUCUGAGGAGUUGUACUACAGAUAGCAUGAGGGAGCAGCCCAUCAAACCUAUCCUGCAGCUGCUUAUUACGCUGUAUUACUACAAGAUGUGUGGGACAGGACUCAAUCUGGGAAGGCAUCCUGAGGUCACUGUUGCACUUCCUCUUUACCAUAGAACAUAUCCUGGUAAGAUGAUUAUUAGAGAUGUCCUCUUUGACAUCCUGCUUUCACAUUAAGCAUAUUUAUAAGAGGAUAUGAGUAAUCUGUAAGUAUCAUGAACUACACCUGUCACAAUGAACACUUUUAUUAUUCAGAUUUUAUAUUUUUAUAGCAAGCUAACUUACAUGAUUUCUCACUGUAGCCCUAUUUUUCCUCCCAGUUUUUAAUAACCAGUUUCAAGAUUCUUCAAGUUGCCUUUCUCAUAUAGUCUGACAGACACUUGUCAUUCAUUUUCUUAGGUACUAUAAACGUUUAACCACCUGCCAAUAGCAGUACUCAUCUAACUACCUUGCUAUGACAAACUCAUAUUUGGUAACUCACUACUUUCCUCUACCCUGCCUCCUACCAGUUGUAACUUUCACCUUCUCCACACUCUUGGGAUACCUGGUGUUACAGAUACCUUAGCAUUUUAGUCAGGACUGGUGAUGCCUUUUGGUUCCACCCAUGGCAUAUUAUCACUACCUGUCUAGGAAGUUAAAGAACAACUCACUGCAGCCUUUCCAAAAAAUACAAGAAAUCAUUCCAGUGGAUUUCCAUCCCCAGUUUUCUUACUCAACACUAAAAGAUCUUUUCUUGAUGUAGUUCUUAAAGUCCACCAACCCUCCCUUUUUAUUUCCUGCCUUUUGUUCUUGACUGAUUCCUCUCUCCUUUGUUUUAACAGCCAACUAUUUUAAGUCUAUUUGAAAUAAGGUAAAGGCAAACACAUAUUCUGAUAACUUUGCCUAGACCGGUUUCCUUGCCUGGCAAUAUGGAACGCACCAGGUGACAGUUUUAUCUCCUGCUGUUUUGGGAUACAGAAGCAGUUGGCUUUUCCAAUAUUAGGAUGAGUCAAUUCCUGGUCUCCACAAGUACCUAAGUCUGAGUAGUUGAGUAGUGAGUUUUUAUCUUACUUUAUAGUUAUGUAUGUAUCUAUGUAUGUAUGUAUGUAUGUAUGUAUGUACGUAUGCAUUUGAGAUGGAGUCUUGAUCUGUCACCCAGGGUAGAGUGCAGUGGCACAAUCAUGGCUCACUGUAGCUUUGGCCUCUUGGCCUCAAG